AAUGUGAUAGGGAACUCCGAGUGCCCGUAUACGCGGGCUGUCCAGGUGUUUAAAAAUCAUCUGAAGAAAGGGCCGGGCAAGACCGGUGCCAGCCGCCGCGGUAAUACCGGCGGCUCGAGUGGUGGCCACUAUUAUUGGGCUUAAAGGGUCCGUAGCUGGACCGAUAAGUCUCUUGGGAAAUCCGCCGGCUCAACCGGCGGGCGUCUAAGGGAUACUGUUGGUCUAGGGACCGGGAGAGGUGAGAGGUACUCCGGGGGUAGGAGUGAAAUCCUGUAAUCCCCGGGGGACCACCGAUUGCGAAGGCAUCUCACCAGAACGGCUCCGACAGUGAGGGACGAAAGCUGGGGGAGCAAACCGGAUUAGAUACCCGGGUAGUCCCAGCCGUAAACUAUGCGCGUUAGGUGUCCUGGUGACCACGAGUCACCUGGGUGCCGAAGGGAAACCGUGAAACGUGCCGCCUGGGAAGUACGGUCGCAAGGCUGAAACUUAA
rnacentral:rRNA from 1 species